rnacentral:tRNA from 1 species
UAAAUUGAAGCCAAAUGUCAAGGUGCUUAGCUGAUAACUAACAAUUAGGGGGAUAAAUACCCUCAGUUUAG